AAUGAACGCUGGCGGUAGGCCUAACACAUGCAAGUCGAACGGCAGCACAGUAAGAGCUUGCUCUUGCGUGUGUCGAGUGGCGGACGGUUGCGUAAUACAUCGGAUUCUUCUUUUUCGUGGGUGAUAACGUAGGAAAACUUACGCUAAUCCCACAUACAUCCUCCUUGUGUAAGCACGCGAUCUUCGAACCUUGCGCGAUUGUAUGAGCCUAUCUCGGCUUAGCUAGUUGGCGGGUUAAAGGCCCAACAAGGCGACGAUCCGUAUCUGGUAUGAGAGGAUGAUCAGACACACUGGAACUGAGACACGGUACAGACUCCUACGGGAGGCAGCAGUGGGGAAUAUUGGACAAUGGGCGAAAGCCUGAUCCAGCAAUACCGGGGGGGUGAAGAAGGCCUUCGGGUUGUAAAGCCCUUUUGUUGGGAAAGAAAAGAAGCAGGUUAAUACGCCGCGGUUCUGACGGUACCCAAAGAAUAAGCACCGGCUAACUUCGUG
rnacentral:rRNA from 1 species